rnacentral:antisense_RNA from 1 species
AAUAACCAAAUAUAACACUUGGGUUAAGAGUCAAAUUUGUAGCUUUUCUUACAUUUCCAUCCUCAUGACUCCAAGUAUCAUAUACACCUCCAAAAUACAAAGCCUUGAGUGCUGGAAGAAAAGAAACAACACCUACAAAGAUUAGGUGAGUACCUAAAAUUGUGGUUAUUUUAUUUUUAUCUUUCCA